CAAUACUGCCGGCGACCGGCGCAAGGGUGCGUAACGCGUGAGCAACAUGCCCGUAUCAGGGGGGAUAAUCCCAAUGGGAAACGUGGUCUAAUACCCCAUAGUAAUUAAUGUAAGGCAUCUUAUAUAAUUUAAAGCUUUGGUGGAUACGGAUUGGCUCGCGUGACAUUAGCUAGAUGGUAAGGUAACGGCUUACCAUGGCUACGAUGUCUAGGGGUUCUGAGAGGAAGGUCCCCCACACUGGAACUGAGACACGGUCCAGACUCCUACGGGAGGCAGCAGUGAGGAAUAUUGGACAAUGGAUGGAAAUCUGAUCCAGCCAUGCCGCGUGCAGGAAGAACCGGCCCUAUGGGUUGUAAACUGCUUUUGCAUGGGAGCAAUAAGGGCUACGCGUAGUCCGAUGAGAGUACCAUACGAAUAAGCACCGGCUAACUCCGUGCCAGCAGCGGC
rnacentral:rRNA from 1 species